rnacentral:sRNA from 1 species
GCUGGGCCUGGUGGUGCACAUCUGUAGUCCCAGCUACUCAGAAGGUUGAGAUGGGAGGAUCAUGUGAGCCCAAGAGUUUGAGACCAGCCUGGGCAACACAGUGAGAAUCCAUCUCAA